rnacentral:SRP_RNA from 1 species
GCUGGGCGUUGUGGUGGGCGCCUGUAGUCCCAGCUGCUUGGGAGGCUGAGGCAGGAGAAUCGCCUAAGCCCAGGAGUUGGAGGUUGCUGUGAGCUGUGACUUCACAGCAUUCUACCAAGGGCAAUAAAGUGAGACUCUGUCUCUU